AGGAUUCCCCUAGUAACUGCGAGUGAAGCGGGAAAAGCUCAAAUUUAAAAUCUGGUAGUCUUUGGCUGCCCGAGUUGUAAUCUAGAGAAGCAUUAUCCGCGCUGGACCGUGUACAAGUGUCCUGGAAUGGACUAUCAUAGAGGGUGAGAAUCCCGUCUUUGACACGGACUCCCAGGGCUUUGUGAUGUGCUCUCAAAGAGUCGAGUUGUUUGGGAAUGCAGCUCUAAAUGGGUGGUAAAUUCCAUCUAAAGCUAAAUAUUGGCGAGAGACCGAUAGCGAACAAGUACCGUGAGGGAAAGAUGAAAAGAACUUUGGAAAGAGAGUUAAACAGUACGUGAAAUUGCUGAAAGGGAAACGCUUGAAGUCAGUCGCGUUGGCUGGGGAUCAACCUUGCUUUUUGCUUGGCUUACUUCCCAGUUGACGGGUCAGCAUCAGUUUUGACCGGUGGAUAAAGGCUAGGGGAAUGUGGCACCUUCGGGUGUGUUAUAGCCCUUGGUCAU
rnacentral:rRNA from 1 species